rfam:Callithrix jacchus chromosome 15, whole genome shotgun sequence
CCCCUUCAAGGGGGGUAGCAGCGGGCCCACCCCCUUGGCAGUAGCACUCGCUGAAUCCUGGGCUGAGGGAGCCCCAGCGCCGCUUGUGGGGGUCUCAAGUCCUUCUGAUCGGGCCCAGCCUGUGUGAGGUUGCUGGUGGGCCCCAGCACACAGGGCCGAGUCUUCCUGGAGUCAGGUUGUUUGGGAAUGCAGCCCAAAGCAGGUGGUAAACUCCAUCUCAGGCUAAAUACCUGCACAAGACCAAUAGUCAACAAGUACCGUAAGGCAAAGUUGAAAAGAACUUUGAAGAGAGAGAGAGAGAGAAAAAAAUAAAUCCUAGAGGGGACAAAGACUGACAGAGGGAACAGUGGAAGUCAGAGAGAGAGAAAGGAAGAGAUAGAAGUAGUUAAAGAGAAAGCAAUGUGCCCUCUUCUUUUAAAAACCAAAGUAAAUUUAAGACCUACAAUUGAUAAUUAAAGGUCUUUUCCCUGCUGGGCUUCUUAAACCCUGUAGUUCCCAAUCCUUAUACUAUUACAAUCACCAGUAGCUUACAGUAAUAAGUUUAAAAAUACUU